AUUGAACGCUGGCGGCAUGCUUUACACAUGCAAGUCGAACGGUAACAGGCCGCAAGGUGCUGACGAGUGGCGAACGGGUGAGUAAUGCAUCGGAACGUGCCCAGUCGUGGGGGAUAACUACUCGAAAGAGUAGCUAAUACCGCAUACGAUCUAUGGGUGAAAGCGGGGGACCGUAAGGCCUCGCGCGAUUGGAGCGGCCGAUGUCAGAUUAGGUAGUUGGUGGGGUAAAGGCUCACCAAGCCAACGAUCUGUAGCUGGUCUGAGAGGACGACCAGCCACACUGGAACUGAGACACGGCCCAGACUCCUACGGGAGGCAGCAGUGGGGAAUUUUGGACAAUGGGCGCAAGCCUGAUCCAGCAAUGCCGCGUGCAGGAAGAAGGCCUUCGGGUUGUAAACUGCUUUUGUACGGAACGAAACGGCUCUGGUUAAUACCCGGGGCUAAUGACGGUACCGGAAGAAUAAGCACCGGCUAACUACGUG
rnacentral:rRNA from 1 species